rnacentral:rRNA from 1 species
CCAAGGAGUCUAACAUGUGUGCGAGUCACCGGGUCUUGCCUAGGCUCGGAGGCGAAAUGAAAGUGAAGGCCGAUCUGGGCGUCGGCUGCGGUGUGAUCCGUGUGUGCACUAUCCCGUCGAUCCCUUGUGGAAGGCGGGGCCACCGGCGCAACACCGGCCCGUCCCGUCCGCAGCGUCGGUGGGGCGGAGCGAGAGCAUACACGUUGGGACCCGAAAGAUGGUGAACUAUGCCUGGGCAGGACGAAGCCAGAGGAAACUCUGGUGGAGGUCCGCAGCGAUUCUGACGUGCAAAUCGAUCGUCAGACCUGGGUAUAGGGGCGAAAGACUAAUCGAACCAUCUAGUAGCUGGUUCCCUCCGAAGUUUCCCUCAGGAUAGCUGGCGCUCGAGGGAGGCAGUCUCAUCCGGUAAAGCGAAUGAUUAGAGGCCUUGGGGCCGAAACGACCUCAACCUAUUCUCAAACUUUCAAUGGGUGAGAAGUCCGGCUUGCUCGACUGAAGCCCGGACGUCCCAGGAUGCGAGUGCCCAGUGGGCCACUUUUGGUAAGCAGAACUGGCGCUGUGGGAUGAACCAAACGCUGGGUUAAGGCGCCCGAUGCGAGACGCUCAUCAGAUCCCAUGAAAGGUGUUGGUUGCUAUAGACAGCAGGACGGUGGCCAUGGAAGUCGGAAUCCGCUAAGGAGUGUGUAACAACUCACCUGCCGAAGCAACUAGCCCUGAAAAUGGAUGGCGCUGUAGCGUCGAGCCCAUACCCGGCCGCCCCGGCUGGGCACGGAAGCUUAUGCCGGGGUGAGUAGGAGGUGUCGCAGCGGCGUGCGUUGAAGGUGCCGGGCGUGGGCCCGCCUGGAGCCGCCGCUGGUGCAGAUCUUGGUGGUAGUAGCAAAUACUCAAGUGAGAACCUUGAGGACUGAGGUGGAGAAGGGUUCCAUGUGAACAGCAGUUGAACAUGGGUCAGUCGGUCCUAAGGGAUAGGAGAAAUCCGUUCCGAAGCGGGACCUGCGUGCGCCGUAAGGUCCCGUGGUCGACCGAAAGGGAAUCGGGUUAAUAUUCCCGAACCCGGAUGCGGAGAUCGGCCCUUCGGGGUCAACUGCGGUAACGCAACCAAACUCGGAGACGUCGAUCGGGGUCCCGGGAAGAGUUGUCUUUUCUUUGUAAGGGAUCGGCUCCCUGGAAUCGGCUCGCCCGGAGAUAGGGAUGCUGUUCCCGUAAAGCACCGCGGCUCUUGCGGUGUCCGGAGCGCUCCGGUCGGCCCUUGAAAAUCCGAGGGCGAGUGUGAUUUUCGUGCCGGACCGUACCCAUAUCCGCAGCAGGCUCCAAAGGUGAACAG